UCAGCAGCCGCGGUAAUACGGAGGGGGCAAGCGUUGUUCGGAUUUACUGGGCGUAAAGAGUGUGUAGGCGGUUGUGCAAGUCUGGUGUGAAAUCUUCACCGCUCAACGGGAAGGCGCCACUGGAAACUGCGCAACUUGAGUGUGGUAGAGGCAAGCGGAAUUCCUGGUGUAGCGGUGGAAUGCUUAGAUAUCAGGAAGAACACCGGUGGCGAAGGCGGCUUGCUGGGCCAUUUCUGACGCUGAGACACGAAAGCGUGGGGAGCGAACGGGAUUAGAUACCCCGGUAGUCCACGCUGUAAACGGUGCGCACUAGGUGUGAGGGGUAUCGACCCCCCUUGUGCCGACGUUAACACAUUAAGUGCGCCGCCUGGGGAGUACGGCCGCAAGGUUGAAACUCAAAGGAAUUGACGGGGGCCCGCACAAGC
rnacentral:rRNA from 1 species